rnacentral:tRNA from 3 species
GUGGAGGUGGCCCAGCCUGGUAAGGCGCCAGACUGCUAAUCUGGUGUCCGUAGGACCCGGGGGUUCGAAUCCCUCCCUCCACGCCA